UUUCAGCCGUGUGAAAAAUAUGGGUAUUAUUGUUGCAAUGGAUUCAGACAACGCUGCAAAUGGAAAUUUAUUUUGGGACGAUGGAGAGUCAAUGGAUACUUAUGCGAGUGGCGAUUAUCUGCAGCUGUCCUUUAAAUGCAAUAACAAUGAAAUUAAAAUCACUGUAGAAAACAGUGGUUUUGAUACUG